rnacentral:rRNA from 1 species
UACGUAGGCAGCAAGCGUUGUUCGGAGUUACUGGGCGUAAAGAGUACGUAGGCGGUCCGGCAAGUCUGAUAUUAAAGACUGGAGCUUAACUCCAGGACUGUAUCGGAAACUGCCAAACUAGAGGACAAUAGAGGAAGUCGGAAUUCUCAGUGUAGCGGUGAAAUGCGUAGAUAUUGGGAAGAACACCAGUGGCGAAAGCGGACUUCUGGGUUGUUACUGACGCUGAGGUACGAAGGUCAGGGGAGCAAACAGG